UCAUCUUUCUGAUCAUUAUUUCGAGAACGAGCUCUUGAGGAUUUUCUAAUUAAAGACCUUCCUCGAGAUUCAUUCUCCCCUCUUGGUGACAGAUAGUUUACAAAGAUCCUAUUUUGACAAUUCCUAGCUAUAUGACCACCAACACCACAAUUAAAACAAAUCUAUUUAUUAUUUGAACUUGUAUUGCAUUUUUCAAAUUUAUUUUCUUUACAAACACUCUUACUCUUCUUAGAAGAACAUGCAUGAGAAUUAGGUUGAGAAAUAAGUGAAGGUGCCUCAUUCGAUUUGACUUGUGGAGUUGAUGAUUCUUUAUNAAGUGAAGGUGCCUCAUUCGAUUUGACUUGUGGAGUUGAUGAUUCUUUAUGGGAAUCAUAAGCAUCAGAAUUACCAAACAAUUCAUCAAACAUAUCGAAAAAAUUAAAUUCAACAGUAUCAGAUGAUGAGCCAACACAAUAAACAUUUUCAGUCUUAACAUCAGAAACACAAUCAAAAUUAUUCAUAACAGAAACAUCAGAUUUAAAAACAAAAAUAGAUUCUCCAGCUUCACGCUUUGCCUGAUCUAAUGGUUGAUCUGCAGAGGAAGUGGAAACAUUUGUACUUUCAAUGUUAAUAAAACCUCUUGAAACAAAACCUGCAGG
rnacentral:lncRNA from 1 species